UACGUAGGGACCGAGCGUUGUCCGGAUUCAUUGGGCGUAAAGAGCUCGUAGGCGGCUGCUCAAGUCGAAUGUGAAAACUCGAGGCUCAACCUCGAGCCUGCAUUCGAUACUGGGCGGCUAGAGUCUGGUAGGGGGAUCUGGAAUUCCUGGUGUAGCGGUGAAAUGCGCAGAUAUCAGGAGGAACACCGGUGGCGAAGGCGGAUCUCUGGGCCUUACCUGACGCUCAGGCGCGAAAGCUAGGGGAGCGAACUGG
rnacentral:rRNA from 1 species